rnacentral:rRNA from 1 species
GUAGGUGGCAAGCGUUGUCCGGAAUUAUUGGGCGUAAAGCGCGCGCAGGUGGUUCUUUAAGUCUGAUGUGAAAGCCCCCGGCUCAACCGGGGAGGGUCAUUGGAAACUGGGGAACUUGAGUGCGGGAGAGGAAAGUGGAAUUCCACGUGUAGCGGUGAAAUGCGUAGAUAUGUGGAGGAACACCAGUGGCGAAGGCGACUUUCUGGCCUGUAACUGACACUGAGGCGCGAAAGCGUGGGGAGCAAACAGGAUUAGAUACCCUGGUAGUCCACGCCGUAAACGAUGAGUGCUAAGUGUUGGGGGGUCUCCCGCCCCCUCAGUGCUGCAGCUAACGCAUUAAGCACUCCGCCUGGGGAGUACGGUCGCAAGACUG